AAAAAGAUGACCCAUCGAUUAUAUUAAAACAUAUCAAUAAAUUAAUAAAAUAUAAAAAAUUACCAAAAAUAUCAAAAAUAAUAAAACCUAUAUUAAAA
rnacentral:ribozyme from 1 species